rnacentral:rRNA from 1 species
GACGAACGCUGGCGGCGUGCUUAACACAUGCAAGUCGAACGGAAAGGCCCUGCUUUUGUGGGGUGCUCGAGUGGCGAACGGGUGAGUAACACGUGAGUAACCUGCCCUUGACUUUGGGAUAACUUCAGGAAACUGGGGCUAAUACCGGAUAGGAGCUCCUGCUGCAUGGUGGGGGUUGGAAAGUUUCGGCGGUUGGGGAUGGACUCGCGGCUUAUCAGCUUGUUGGUGGGGUAGUGGCUUACCAAGGCUUUGACGGGUAGCCGGCCUGAGAGGGUGCCGGCCACAUUGGGACUGAGCUACGGCCCAGACUCCUACGGGAGGCAGCAGUGGGGAAUAUUGCACAAUGGGCGGAAGCCUGAUGCAGCAACGCCGCGUGCGGGAUGACGGCCUUCGGGUUGUAAACCGCUUUCGCCUGUGACGAAGCGUGAGUGACGGUAAUGGGUAAAGAAGCACCGGCUAACUAUGUG